GAUGAACGCUGGCGGCGUGCCUAAUACAUGCAAGUCGAGCGAACAGAUAAGGAGCUUGCUCCUUUGACGUUAGCGGCGGACGGGUGAGUAAUACGUGGGUAACCUACCUAUAAGACUGGGAUAACUUCGGGAAACCGGAGCUAAUACCGGAUAACAUUUGGAACCGCAUGGUUCUAAAGUGAAAGAUGGUUUUGCUAUCACUUAUAGAUGGACCCGCGCCGUAUUAGCUAGUUGGUAAGGUAACGGCUUACCAAGGCAACGAUACGUAGCCGACCUGAGAGGGUGAUCGGCCACACUGGAACUGAGACACGGUCCAGACUCCUACGGGAGGCAGCAGUAGGGAAUCUUCCGCAAUGGGCGAAAGCCUGACGGAGCAACGCCGCGUGAGUGAUGAAGGGUUUCGGCUCGUAAAACUCUGUUAUUAGGGAAGAACAAACGUGUAAGUAACUGUGCACGUCUUGACGGUACCUAAUCAGAAAGCCACGGCUAACUACGUG
rnacentral:rRNA from 1 species